rnacentral:rRNA from 1 species
ACGAGUACUUGUACUUGGUGGCGACCGGCGCACGGGUGCGUAACGCGUAUGCAACCUACCUUAUACUGAGGGAUAGCCCAGAGAAAUUUGGAUUAAUACCUCAUAGUAUCAUUUGAAGGCAUCUGAGAAUGAUUAAAGAUUUAUCGGUAUAAGAUGGGCAUGCGUAAGAUUAGUUAGUUGGUAAGGUAACGGCUUACCAAGACAAUGAUGGGUAGGGGUCCUGAGAGGGAGAUCCCCCACACUGGUACUGAGACACGGACCAGACUCC